CCUCCAGACUCCUACGGGAGGCAGCAGUCGGGAAUAUUGCGCAAUGGAGGAAACUCUGACGCAGUGACGCCGCGUGCAGGAAGAAGGUUUUCGGAUUGUAAACUGCUUUAGACAGGGAAGAAAAAAGACAGUACCUGUAGAAUAAGCUCCGGCUAACUACGUGCCAGCAGCCGCGGUAAUACGUAGGGAGCAAGCGUUAUCCGGAUUUAUUGGGUGUAAAGGGAGCGUAGGCGGGAAGCCAAGUCAGCUGUGAAAACUACGGGCUUAACCUGUAGACUGCAGUUGAAACUGGCUUUCUUGAGUGAAGUAGAGGUUGGCGGAAUUCCGAGUGUAGCGGUGAAAUGCGUAGAUAUUCGGAGGAACACCGGUGGCGAAGGCGGCCAACUGGGCUUUAACUGACGCUGAGGCUCGAAAGUGUGGGGAGCAAACAGGAUUAGAUACCCGCGUA
rnacentral:rRNA from 1 species